rnacentral:rRNA from 1 species
UGCCAGACUCCUACGGGAGGCAGCAGUGAGGAAUAUUGGUCAAUGGGCGGAAGCCUGAACCAGCCAAGUCGCGUGAGGGAAUAAGGCCCUACGGGUCGUAAACCUCUUUUGCCGGGGAGCAAGGGCGGGGACGUGUCCCGGCCCGGAGAGUACCCGGAGAAAAAGCAUCGGCUAACUCCGUGCCAGCAGCCGCGGUAAUACGGAGGGUGCGAGCGUUAAUCGGAAUUACUGGGCGUAAAGCGCACGUAGGCUGUAUGACAAGUCAAGGGUGAAAUGCCACGGCUCAACCGUGGAACUGCCUUUGAAACUGUCAAACUGGAGUAUGUGAGAGGGCGGCGGAAUUCCUGGUGUAGGAGUGAAAUCCGUAGAUAUCAGGAGGAACAUCAGUGGCGAAGGCGGCCGCCUGGCACAAAACUGACGCUGAAGUGCGAAAGCGUGGGUAGCAAACAGGAUUAGAUACCCCUGUAAAU